rnacentral:rRNA from 1 species
CCUACGGGGGGCAGCAGUAGGGAAUAUUGCUCAAUGGGGGAAACCCUGAAGCAGCAACGCCGCGUGGAGGAUGAAGGUUUUCGGAUUGUAAACUCCUUUUGUUAGAGAAGAGAAUGACGGUAUCUAACGAAUAAGCACCGGCUAACUCCGUGCCAGCAGCCGCGGUAAUACGGAGGGUGCAAGCGUUACUCGGAAUCACUGGGCGUAAAGAGCGCGUAGGCGGGAUAGCAAGUCAGAUGUGAAAUCCUAUGGCUUAACCAUAGAACUGCAUUUGAAACUGUUAUUCUAGAGUAUGGGAGAGGUAGGUGGAAUUCUUGUUGUAGGUGUUCCAUCCGUCGAGAUCACGUGGAAUACUCAUUGCGAAGGCGACCUGCUAGAACAUACCUGACGCUGAUGCGCGACAGCGUGGGGAGCAAACAGGAUUAGAUACCCUUGUAGUC